AGAUGAAUCAAAACAUGCCCAUACUAACAUUCACAGAAGCAGGCAGUGACGAAGAUGCACGAGCUGAUGAUUUCAUCAAUAAGGCCAGAGAUCAGUUGAAGCAGCAGAGGAUAGAUUCAUUAAUGCGGUAUCGCGAUACGCUACGAAGAGCACAGCUCAAGAAACAGAUAGCCUCAGGGGCGGACCCAGAAAACAAGAUAGCCUCAGGGGCGGACCUGGACAAAUAGAUAGCCUCAGGAGCGGACCCAGAAAAAAAUUGGAGUGGGGGGCAAAUCAGCGUUUUAUCACUUCUUGAACAAUAUCUGAAGUAAUUUUCAGUGAAAUAAAAGCAAACUUUACUGAAGUUUGAAAAUGGAGUGGGGGCAUAGGCGCAUAGCCCCCACUGGCCUAUAUGUAAGUCCGCCCCUGGAUAGCCUCAAGGGCUCAGCUGAAGCAGUCUGCGUGCUCCUGUUCCAACAUCCAGACUGCACAAUUGUCAUUUUUCCACGUUCAUAUUGAGUUGUUUUCGGAUGUUGAUGUUGAAAAUACCCCAUGUAUUGUUAUAUUUUCUUACGUUUGCGAAUUAUCGGGCAAUAUGUCAUCUUAUUACUUGAACAAUUUUUGUCAACAUUUACUAGCAAAGCAUAGCACUUGUAUAUUUUCAUGAGCAUAGCUAUUGAAUAUGAAACAGGGGGGAAGCAUUGGGGAUCAAGCUUGUUUUCCCGGAUA